rnacentral:misc_RNA from 1 species
UUAUUAUUAUUAUUAUUAUUAAGCUUACCAUUUUUUUUUUCAUUUCCAAAAAUAUAUCAUGCAGAAAAUUGCCAAGGCAGUUGGAAAUUGGUUUUAUGACAGGAAUCCUUUCCAAAAGAUUGAUUGUCCUUACCCUUGCAAUCCAACCUGCCCCAUCGACAACCUUUUCAAUCAGCCAAAUAACCUAGAAGUAUAGAUUUUAGUGCCUCAAAAUUCAUCUCAUUUCAUUUUUAUUAUUCAAAAGAGCAUUGUGGGAG